AGCAAUUGCAAACAAAUCCUGACUGUGAGAAACACUAUCAGACAAAGUUUCUGGUUCUUUCAAGAAAUGAACUGCAAGAAAAAAAAAGGGAGUUUUAAAGACAGCCUAGAGAGGCUGCUUGUACCCUUCACCCAGUUUUUUCCAUUGGUUACACUUGAUGUAUGCAUUUGUGAGUUAUAUUCUUUUCCUUCUCCCUGAAGAACUUUUAACAUUUCUCACAAGUCAUAUUUUCUAGUGAUGAAUUC